CUGCACGAAUGGCGUAAUGAUGGCCAGGCUGUCUCCACCCGAGACUCAGUGAAAUUGAACUCGCUGUGAAGAUGCAGUGUACCCGCGGCAAGACGGAAAGACCCCGUGAACCUUUACUAUAGCUUGACACUGAACAUUGAGCCUUGAUGUGUAGGAUAGGUGGGAGGCUUUGAAGUGUGGACGCCAGUCUGCAUGGAGCCGACCUUGAAAUACCACCCUUUAAUGUUUGAUGUUCUAACGUGGACCCGURAUCCGGGUUGCGGACAGUGUCUGGUGGGUAGUUUGACUGGGGCGGUCUCCUCCUAAAGAGUAACGGAGGAGCACGAAGGUUGGCUAAUCCUGGUCGGACAUCAGGAGGUUAGUGCAAUGGCAUAAGCCAGCUUGACUGCGAGCGUGACGGCGCGAGCAGGUGCGAAAGCAGGUCAUAGUGAUCCGGUGGUUCUGAAUGGAAGGGCCAUCGCUCAACGGAUAAAAGGUACUCCGGGGAUAACAGGCUGAUACCGCCCAAGAGUUCAU
rnacentral:rRNA from 1 species